rnacentral:rRNA from 1 species
GACGAACGCUGGCGGCGUGCUUAACACAUGCAAGUCGAACGGAAAGGCCCUGCUUUUGUGGGGUGCUCGAGUGGCGAACGGGUGAGUAACACGUGAGUAACCUGCCCUUGACGUUGGGAUAACUUCAGGAAACUGGGGCUAAUACCGGAUAGGAGCUCCUGCUGCAUGGUGGGGGUUGGAAAGUUUCGGCGGUUGGGGAUGGACUCGCGGCUUAUCAGCUUGUUGGUGGGGUAGUGGCUUACCAAGGGUUUGACGGGUAGCCGGCCUGAGAGGGUGACCGGCCACAUUGGGACUGAGAGACGGCCCAGACUCCUACGGGAGGCAGCAGUGGGGAAUAUUGCACAAUGGGCGGAAGCCUGAUGCAGCAACGCCGCGUGCGGGAGGACGGCCUUCGGGGUGUAAACCGCUUUCGCCUGUGACGAAGCGUGAGUGACGGUAAUGGGUAAAGAAGCACCGGCUAACUACGG